rnacentral:lncRNA from 1 species
UAGUUUCAAAAAUAAAAGAAAAAAGAUACUAAAAUGCUAACUCAAUUACAAAGGGAUCCUAGGAACACCACCUCCUCUUCCAAUGCACAGGCGACACUUAGCCAACCACUUGGAGGUGCAGGUCGAUUUUGUUUUAUUUCUUGAUUUCGGACUACGGCUACCACUUGGAGGUGCAGGUCGAACAAAAAGAAAGGCUACGGCUCUGUUCUUGAUUUCGGACGAACACAACCACAGAACGGGACCCUCUUCUUUUUCUUCUGCCCGCCACCGCGGUCCUUCCUCCCAUACAGAUAGUCCCUCAAAAGCACGCGAGUGCGCUUAU